CAAAAGGAGUUUGUCAGUGGUGAGCAGGUAGGGAAAGUUUUGGGAGUAAACUUGAGGUAGUCUGUAGGGUAGUGAAUGAACAUACUUAGGUAUAAAUGAGGUGAUCAGAUGUGGUGAGGUAGGGAAAAUUCUGGGGGUAAAAUCUGGGGC